rnacentral:rRNA from 1 species
UACAGAGGUCUCAAGCGUUGUUCGGAUUCAUUGGGCGUAAAGGGCGCGUAGGCGGCAAGGCAAGUCGGGUGUGAAAGCUUGGGGCUUAACCCCGAAAGGGCACUCGAAACUGCCCUGCUAGAGGGCCGGAGAGGAGAUCGGAAUUCACGGUGUAGCAGUGAAAUGCGUAGAGCUCGUGAGGAAGACCGGUGGCGAAGGCGGAUCUCUGGACAGUUCCUGACACUGAGACACGAAGGCCAGGGGAGCAAACGGG